rnacentral:piRNA from 1 species
AUUCCACAGACAGGUAUGGAGCAC